rnacentral:lncRNA from 1 species
CCACACUAAAACAGGAAUACCCAAAAGGAACUGCAGCUUGUGGAGGACCUGGGUAGGAGACAAGCAGAAAGGAAGGGAGAAAGAAACCAGCAAGAAAUAAGAAGCUGAAGCAAGAAAACAUCAUCUACCAACCCAGUCUCCUGAGCUGUCCAUCACCUCAUGCAAGGGUCUUGCUGUAAGUCUUUGGGCUUUCUAAUCCUCCCCUGAUUGUCUUUAAAGUAAUGGUAAGUUAUUUAAUUUGGUGUCUUUUUGCAGUAACAUCACUGUGUAAUUUGGAUUGGUGACAAAACUGCCGUGUCGUGUGCUUGCAUGUGCUAAAGCCUGGGAGGGGAAAAGAGAGAUGAGUAGACAUGCACAGCUUGUUCUGAAUCCUAGUAACUGUUAAACAUCUUGAUGCUGUUGACCAUAGCUGUGAUAA